rnacentral:lncRNA from 1 species
CCCAGGCGUCCGGGUGGCCACCAGCCCCCCCCCUCCCAAACCCGCUCACGCGACUACAUGUGUCUACACGCGACUACACGCGAUGCUGGGGAUCCCCCCCCCCGGGGGCCUCCCCGGCCAAGGGCCCAGGCGUCCGGGAGGGACCCAGGCAUCCGGGAAAGGGGCCCAGGUGUCCGGAGGGACCCAGGCGUCCGGGAGGGGCUCAGGCGUCCGGGAAGGGCCCAGGUGUCCGGGAAGGGCCCAGGCGUCCGGGAAGGACCCAGGCGUCCGGGAGGGGCCCAGGCAUCCGGGAAGGGCCCAGGCGUCCGGGAGGGGCCCAGGCGUCCGAGGGACCCAGGCGUCCGGGAAGGGCCCAGGUGUCCGGGAGGGGCCCAGGUGUCCGGGAAGGGGCCCAGGUGUCCGGGAAAGGGGCCCAGGUGUCCGGGAAGGGGCCCAGGCGUCCGGGAGGGGCCCAGGCGUCCGGCUCACCAGCGAACGAGAGGUGCCGCAGCCGGGCGUUGGCUCGAGCCUCCUGCACCUUCUCCACGACGAUGCGCCAGGCCCCUGCGCGCGCGGGCGUCACGCGUGUCAGCCCGGGUCACCCGCCGCGUCACCCCGCGUCACCCAUCGCAUGUCACCCAUCGCGUGUCACUCCAGGUCCCCCCGCGCCACCCAGCCCUUGUCACCCUCUGUCACCCAACCUGUGUCACCC